CGCCAAUAACCCAAUGACAAGUCGAAGCGGAAACGGCAGUAUUGAAGCUUCGGUGGAUUUACUGGACGUCGAGCGGCGGACGGGUGAGUAACGGCUGGGAACCUGCCCUGACGAGGGGGAUAACCGUUGGAAACGACGGCUAAUACCGCAUAAUGUCUUGAUUCGUUAGAGUCAGGACCAAAGGUGGCCUCUACAUGUAAGCUAUCGCGUUGGGAUGGGCCCAGUUAGGAUUAGCUAGUUGGUAAGGUAAUGGCUUACCAAGGCAACGAUCCUUAGCUGGUUUGAGAGGAUGAUCAGCCACACUGGGACUGAAACACGGCCCAAACUCCUACGGGAGGCAGCAGUGGGGAAUAUUGCACAAUGGGGGAGACCCUGAUGCAGCCAUGCCGCGUGUGUGAAGAAGGCCUUCGGGUUGUAAAGCACUUUCAGCAGUGAGGAAGGUCGUGUACUUAAUACGUGCACGGCUUGACGUUAGCUGCAGAAGAAGCACCGGCUAACUCCGUGCCAGCAGCCGCGGUAAUACGGAGGGUGCGAGCGUUAAUCGGAAUUACUGGGCGUAAAGCGCAUGCAGGCGGUUUGUUAAGUCAGAUGUGAAAGCCCGGGGCUCAACCUCGGAACCGCAUUUGAAACUGGCAGGCUAGAGUCUUGUAGAGGGGGGUAGAAUUUCAGGUGUAGCGGUGAAAUGCGUAGAGAUCUGAAGGAAUACCAGUGGCGAAGGCGGCCCCCUGGACAAAGACUGACGCUCAGAUGCGAAAGCGUGGGUAGCAAACAGGAUUAGAUACCCUGGUAGUCCACGCCGUAAACGCUGUCUACUUGGAGGUUGAGGUUUUAGACUUUGGCUUUCGGCGCUAACGCAUUAAGUAGACCGCCUGGGGAGUACGGCCGCAAGGUUAAAACUCAAAUGAAUUGACGGGGGCCCGCACAAGCGGUGGAGCAUGUGGUUUAAUUCGAUGCAACGCGAAGAACCUUACCUACUCUUGAACAUCCAGCGAAGCUUUAGAAGAAUAGAGGCGUGCCUUUCAGGAGCGCUGAAAACAGUGCUGCAUGCUGUCGUCAGCUCGUGAUGUGAAUGUUGGCUAGUCCGCACGAGCGCAAUCUAUCCUGUGCAGUACGUAUGAUGCACUUCAGAGAAAGCUGGCGGGUGAUAC
rnacentral:rRNA from 1 species